GAUGAACGCUAGCUACAGGCUUAACACAUGCAAGUCGAGGGGUCUCGCGGGAGCUUGCUUCCAAGAGACGACCGGCGCACGGGUGAGUAACGCGUAUCCAACCUGCCCUUCAUAUUGGGAUAGCCUUCCGAAAGGAAGAUUAAUACCGAAUAACAUGAGAAAGUUGCCUGAUUCUCUCAUGAAAGCUCCGGCGAUGAAGGAUGGGGAUGCGUUCCAUUAGGUAGUAGGCGGGGUAACGGCCCACCUGGCCUACGAUGGAUAGGGGUUCUGAGGGGAAGGUCCCCCACACUGGAACUGAGACACGGUCCAGACUCCUACGGGAGGCAGCAGUGAGGAAUAUUGGUCAAUGGGCGCAAGCCUGAACCAGCCAAGUAGCGUGAAGGAUGACUGCCCUAGGGGUUAUAAACUUCUUUUAUACGGGAACAAACCUUGGUACGCGUACCAAAUUGCGUGUACCGUAUGAAUAAGCAUCGGCUAACUCCGUGCCAGCCGCCGCAGUAACAC
rnacentral:rRNA from 1 species